UUGUGCUCAGCUGUGGCUUUUGCCAGUUUUGAAGAUUUUUAGUCUGUUUCAGUGUUAUUCUGUGUUUGCUCUGAUUGUACUCCAUCAGGUUUUGACUCCCAUUAGAUGCAGUUUCUGUGAGGCCUGUGACCUAGCCCAGGAGGUCAACCUGACGUUGCUUCCCACUGCUUCUCUGACAGGUACCACUGGUCAGGGCUGAGUCUGGGUGCAAACCAAACCUUGCUGAGUGCUGGAGACCUGCUGGAAUCCACAGGAGUAAGCUUGCUUCCAAAUGACCAACUGUACAACUUGAUGCUGUCUAAUGGGACAUGAAACAGCCAAACUGGGCAGGUAUGGCACACCCACAGACCUGAAGUGGAUGGAAUAAAGCAGAGCACAACGUGGCUUCUGUCCUGGAAACCAACACCUGAAGAUGCAUUGUAGACCUUAAAGAGCUACACUACCAGUGCCUCUGAUGUCUGAAGCCUCUGAGAUUUGCCCUUAAAGCUCUGAUUAACCCCGAGCCAACUACAUUGAUCUCCCAGUUGCCCAACAAAAUGGUAUUGAGAUUGUGGAGUUUAAUUAUUUACUGUUUGGAAAACACUUUCAGACAGGUAAAGAAGAGAUGUCUUGUUAGUACUGAGUUAUGUUAAGCAAUAAUCCCAAUCGAUAAAAAUCACCAAAUAAUUAAGUACCUUCAGACACUUAAAACCCAUUGCAACAGCCAUUAGCAGCAGGUUGGAGGGCUGUUGGCGUAUCACUUUAGCGUAUUAUGAAUUCCCCAUAGAGCAGGCAGAUGUCCCAGUGAUGGCUAUGCAUGCUGCAUAUAUCACAGUCUUGUCCCUGUGCUAUUAACUCUGAGGGUUUCACACUGAAAAAUCCUGUCAUGGGAAUACGGAUGAGGACAGUGUGCUAGAGAUGUAAUAGCAAGAGAAGAGAAAUGUGGAUGGUCAAAGCACACACAGGAGGCCAGACUGUGAAUCACCGCAUAACCCGAAGGAGCUCAUUUAUCUUCUCUUCUUCAGUGUAACCCUCUGUGAGAAACAUAUAAAGAAAUUUAAUUGCUUUGUGGACUGUUAUGUAGUGUGAUUAAUAAUAUUUAGAAAGCCCUUUGAGAUCUCUGGAUAAACGCUGUUUUUUGUGGGGUUUUUUGGUUUGUUUGUUUGUUUUUCAAGGAUAUUCUUAGUGCAUUCAUAGCUUUCGUUUCUUGAGU